rnacentral:rRNA from 2 species
NNUGCAAGUCGAGCGGCAGCGGGAAAGUAGCUUGCUACUUUUGCCGGCGAGCGGCGGACGGGUGAGUAAUGCCUGGGGAUCUGCCCAGUCGAGGGGGAUAACUACUGGAAACGGUAGCUAAUACCGCAUACGCCCUACGGGGGAAAGCAGGGGACCUUCGGGCCUUGCGCGAUUGGAUGAACCCAGGUGGGAUUAGCUAGUUGGUGAGGUAACGGCUCACCAAGGCGACGAUCCCUAGCUGGUCUGAGAGGAUGAUCAGCACACUGGAACUGAGACACGGUCCAGACUCCUACGGGAGGCAGCAGUGGGGAAUAUUGCACAAUGGGGGAAACCCUGAUGCAGCCAUGCCGCGUGUGUGAAGAAGGCCUUCGGGUUGUAAAGCACUUUCAGCGAGGAGGAAAGGUCAGUAGCUAAUAUCUGCUGGCUGUGACGUUACUCGCAGAAGAAGCACCGGCUAACUCCGUGCCAGCAGCCGCGGUAAUACGGAGGGUGCAAGCGUUAAUCGGAAUUACUGGGCGUAAAGCGCACGCAGGCGGUUGGAUAAGUUAGAUGUGAAAGCCCCGGGCUCAACCUGAGAAUUGCAUUUAAAACUGUCCAGCUAGAGUCUUGUAGAGGGGGGUAGAAUUCCAGGUGUAGGNNUGAAAUGCGUAGAGAUCUGGAGGAAUACCGGUGGCGAAGGCGGCCCCCUGGACAAAGACNNNNNGCCNCAGNUGCNAAAGGCNGUGGGGGNNNCAAACAGGAUUAGAUACCCUGGUAGUCCACGCCCGUAAACGAUGUCGACUUGGAGGUUGUGCCCUUGAGGCGUGGCUUCCGGAGCUAACGCGUUAAGUCGACCGCCC